GCCUCAGAGUCCCUGAAAAUUAUAAUGGCUGUAAUAUGCCCAAAUGAGAGGCGGCUAAACUCUAUAAACGCUAAAGCAGCCUUUCUCCAAGGCAAAGAAUUGACUUGAAAUGUGUACAUCAGGCUUCCCCAAGAAGCCCAAAUGCAGUGCUAUCUAUGGAAGUUAAAAAGUGUGUUUCUGGGCCAGCAAAUACUUACAUGUAUUGGUAUAACAGAGUAAAAGACAUCAUGUUGAUGUUGGGAGCCACUGUGUCGAAAGUUGGUCCAGCAGUGUUCAAUUGGCUGGAUGACUCCUGUAAUGUGAUAGGGGUUCUUGCUUGUCUUGUUGAUGACUUCAUUUGGGGUAGUACAAAGAAAUUCUCCAACACAGUCUCACUUGAAAGCUGUUUUCCAGGUUGGAUGUGAAGAAAGCAGCAGCUUCAGUAACAUUGGAAUAGAGAUUCACUCUCUGAAGGAUGAAACUCAUGUACAGCAAAAAUGUACAUUAAAACCUUUUCUGCCUGUUUCUGUGGAUCCCACAAGAACAAACGAUAGAGAGGCACCUAAACAGAACAGAGACCUAAAUUGAGAUGCUGAAGUCAAAGAUAGGCUAAAUAUUGUGGGUGAUAGCUCUUUAAAGACCCACUCCGGUGAAAAUCAGGUUUGUCUUGUCGUAUACAUGUUGAUGUUUGUCUCGACAUCUCUUACUUGUCUAGGGAGCCAUAGUGUUUGGCUCUUUUGAAAUGUUUCAGACCUUUUAUGUUUUUUAAAAGAGAAAAGGGAAGAAAGGGAGACUGGAAGUGGUAAUAGAGAGUUGAAAGUGGUAUUUCUAUUCUGAUUAUAAGACAAAAGGGGGCACUCUGUUCAAAAGUUGUUGUUACUGUGAGGUACUGUUGCUGAAUAUGAAUACUGGUAAUAUGGGAGAAAUGGAGAAUGACUUAUUUAAUAGGUAUUGUUUGUAUAUCGGGGUGAGAGCAACGCUCCGAAGGGAUAGUCACAAUGCUGGCAGAGCAUCCCCACUCUGCUGCUGCGUGUGUUCCGCGUUGAAACACUCUUUUACUAGUAAGGUCUCUGUGUCUCUGCUCAACGUUCUGCUCUUUGUUAUGCUGGUUUCUGUCGACCACCUUGGUUUGCUCUCCUGCUCUGUCCAUGCCCCUCGUGUCUCUUCUUUUGUUCUCCACUGUCUCCUUUUCUCUUGUGUUCCUUCGACUCCGACCCUCCCCUCAGCCACUGAUUGGAUGAGCGGAGUCUGUUAGUCUCCUAAUUGGUCCAGCAGACUGUCCAUCAAACCGGACAACUACACCGGUGCAGGUAAUCCAUAAUUAGUCUUUCAAGGCAGGGAUUAAACCAUGAUAAAAACUUGCAUAAAAAUUUAAGCAUAAAUAAAAUCAACACAUCACGAAUAAAACUCAAGAUAUAAAAGCAAACUUGUUGUGUGAGUAGUGUAUAUUAAUAAAAUACUCACUGAUAGUAUCACUAAUAGCAACUUCAAACUGAUCUACAUAAAUAGCCCCAAAUAAGAAACCAAAAAAAUUGAUGAAAAGAGCCUGAAAGGCUGAGAACCUAUCCCUUUGCCUUUACAAUGAAUUGUAUUUACAAUGUCAUUAUAAGAAUACCUUAUCUUAGUAGCUCUGCUCUGUAUGGCACCAGCAACAUACUGCAGUUCCCAAUAAGUGGCCUCACUGAAGAGUUCAUGGUGUCCAGAACACGGGAAGCACUGCAAUACAGAGAAUCCAGAGAUCCGAAGGUGGCAGCAGCUGGGAUCCAGGUGAAAACAGGCAGGAAAUGGAACGUAGGAAAAGCAAUAGAUGUGGCUGAGUCACGGCUGCAGCAGACGGCACUGGGGGGGUCCAUAGCAAUUGGGCGUGCAGGCAUUGGCUACUUUCCUUCAACCAAAGUUGACAAGGCCCAGGGCAAGGAGCGUCAUCAGCUGAUCCAGGAAGAAGUACGGGCAGGUGUGGAGGAAGUACGAGCUAGCAGGAUGGUGGGAAUGGGGGAGCAAGGAGCAUGGACUAGAUGGGAGAAUGUUCUGCAACGGAAAAUCACCUGGUCCAACAUCUGGAAAGCAGACUUUCAUCGAAUCAGGUUCUUUGUCCAGGCUGUGUAUGAUGUCCUUCCUAGCCCAGCAAACCUCCAUGUCUGGGGUAAAACAGAGACACCAUCCUGCCCCCGCUGCUCAGGACGGGGCUCCCUGGAACACAUGCUAAGCAGCUGCCCAAAAGCUCUUGGAGACGGGCGCUAUCGCUGGUGUCACGACCAGGUGCUUAGGGCAGUUGCAGACAGUAUCGCCACCGCCAUCAACACCAGCAGAGGCCACCACAAGCCAAAGACCAUCACAUUCCACAGAGCUGGAGAAAAGCCCAACAUACCACCACGGGCAAAGUCCGGCCUCCUCACCUCCGCCAACGACUGGCAACUGGAAGUGGACCUGGGCAGGCAACUGAAGUUCCCCUCAAGAAUUACAUCAACCAGGCUCCGCCCAGACAUGGUCAUUGUCUCAGACUCCACCAAGCAGCUGAUCAUUCUGGAGCUUACUGUGCCAUGGGAAGAACGCAUGGAUGAGGCUAAUGAGAGGAAGAGGGCCAAGUACCAGGAACUGGUGGAAGAGUGUAGGGGGCAAGGCUGGAAAACAACCUGUGAGCCUGUGGAGGUGGGCUGUCGGGGAUUUGCCGGACGGUCACUCUGCAGAGUGUUCACCCAGCUAGGACUUGUCGGGGAGGCGAAACGGAAGGCCAUCAGAUCCACAACUGAAGCCGCAGAGAAAGCCACGAGAUGGCUUUGGAUUAAGAGGGCAGAACCAUGGGCAAACGCUGCUGGGACACAGGCUGGGGAUUGAUCACCCCGGCCGGGUCGCCUGGGCUGAGGGGGUCUGAUGUUAAAAGACCCGAAACCCCCCGUGAUGCCAGGAAACAACAUCACUGAUGAUGUGUCCCAGCGCAUCCACAGGAUGUAUCUCUCACCUUUGAAGCUGGUUCAUCCAGUGACACCCAGGAAUAGACUGGGUGGCAACCAAGGACAGUUUGGUGACGAUUGGAAAGACAAUUGACAGCUCGGAAAGACGGCACCUGGGACAGGAAGGGCUAGCACCCCAACCUGUGUCUUCCGUGAGGGAGAAACCCAAAACUGCUAUGAAGAAGCCUUCUGAGAAAUACCCCCAGGGGAGCCGGUGAGGGGGGGAGAAUGAGAACCCCAAACGGACGGACUCAACGGUAUCGAACCAUGCAAACGGAAACACGACCACGAAUCCAAGAUGCAUCUGCGGAAAAGUGUGCAAGAACACGCAUGGCCUAAAAAAACAUCUGGCUAGGAUGAAAUGCAGGGAGAAAGAGAACAUACUGCAACGCACAGGAUCUGAUCCUGGUGAGACGCAGGAGGAGUCCGGCCAGGAGGAGCCCCACAGAGCUCAGUCCCUCCAAGCAGUAGAGCCUUUCAAUCCCUGCAAAAUAAUCCAACAGAAGCGGAUCAAAUGGGCUCCAGCUAAGAGCCAGUCAGCAUGGUUACAGUUUGACACUGAUGUGUGCAAGAUCCUGGAAACCACUAGCAAGGGUGGAGUAGACCAGCGUCUUGAGACCAUGACUGCCAUCAUUGUCAGCUAUGCAGCGGAGAGAUUUGGCCACAUUGAGAGGAGCAACAUCAAGCCCAGCAACACCAUGAACCGCAGAGCCACCCAGAUCCACAAACUGCGUCAGGAACUUCGAAGCCUCAAAAAACAGCAUAAGGUGGCUAGCAAAGAUGAGAAGCUACCGCUUAUCGAACUUCGCAACAUCUUGAGGAAGAAGCUCCUGACGCUGCGCAGAGCAGAGUGGCACCGAAGGCGACGAAAGGAAAGAGCAAGAAAGCGCGCCGCUUUCAUCUCCAACCCUUUCACUUUCUCUAAGAAGCUCCUGGGGGACAAGUGCAGCGGCAGCUUAGUCUGCUCAGCGGAAGAGGUAAACUCCUUCCUGCACAACACCUUGAGCGACCCAGAGAGAGAACUGGAGCUACAGCCUCAGAGAGCCCUCAUAAGCCCACAAUCACCAUCAGUGGAUUUUGCUCUGAGGGAGCCAACCUGGAAAGAGGUUCAGGAAGUGGUGAAAGGAGCCAGAACUGCCUCAGCCCCAGGCCCUAGUGGAGUCACAUACACUGUAUACAAGCACUGUAUACUGCCCGCAACUCCUUCGUCACCUGUGGAAGAUCCAGAGGAUGAUCUGGCGCAGGGGAAAAGUUGCUAACCAAUGGAGGUGUGCUGAGGGUGUGUGGAUCCCCAAGGAAGAGGACUCCAAGGACAUCAGUCAGUUCCGGACCAUCUCGCUGCUAAGCGUUGAAGGCAAGAUCUUCUUCAGUAUCGUGUCACGAUGACUAACGGAGUUCCUUCUGAAGAACAGCUACAUUGACACCUCUGUCCAGAAGGGUGGAAUCCCUGGAGUGCCUGGCUGCUUGGAACAUACUGGAGUGGUAACACCACAUGUCUUUUAGACCCUGUCCCAACCUCAUUCUUUAAGUUAUUUUAUGAUUCUUUUAGAGACAAGCUUUUAAACAGGAUUAUUAUUUGAUUUGUCGACUUAUCUAUCGACUCAUGUAUCGAUUAUUCUUACUAUUAUUUUUUAUCAACCGAUUAAUAUUACAAUGAAUUUAACCAAAAUAGCAAGUAAAAACUUGUCCUAUUCCUAUAAGUAUUUUAUUCAAUGAUUUAUUCAAGAAUCUCUUGAAAUCAAACAAAACAAAACAUUAAGGUUAUAACAUCCGGAAGAUUUUAGCAGCACGCAGUUUUUGGGUUACCUUGUAUGGUGGAUAUGAGCUAAUUAUGAGAGCAUUUGUAAUUAAAUAGCUCAUCCAAAUAAGUCUAAGUGAAGCUGCACACUUUUUUUGUUUUAACAAUAACAAAUGGUAAUAACAAAAUAAUAGCUACAAUAUACCUUGAACUUAUUUAGUCCACUAAUAUUAGUGUUAAAGUCCUCAUAUGUUUUAUAUGCUAUAUGAAGUUCCCUGAACAUCUGUGUGUGAAACACAGCACUCUUUUAUCUGAGGCUGCCCUUAAUGCAUCACUCCAAGACAGUGAAAGACUAUCAAUAUAAUAUUAUAUCAUAUUUGUUUCCCUUUCAUUAAAGUGUUCAUUUUGCAACAAACACUGCUUAAAUGUAGUUUACAGCUUAAACCGACUUGUAUCAUCCCAAAUUUUAAAGUAAAGGGAGUAGUCCAGUGUCUGUGAGGCUCAGCAGAAACACAGGAGCAUCUUCGGUUGUCUGGAAACUUUGGACAAAUAUAGUGAUCCGAUUCAUGAAUGAACGUGGGCCAUCAAACUACAAGAGAUUCCCGGGAGAAAUGACAAUACAGGAGGUGGGCGAGAGAUACUGUAGGUCUGAAAUACGGGAGAGUCCUGGGAAAAACAGGAGUGUUGGCAGGUAUGGUAUCAGUAUACAUAUAUGCAGCGGAGCUUGCGUGCGCCGAGUAUUAGCAUUAGCGAGCUAUCGCCUGCGAUCACACAGCUGAUUAAUUAGCGAGUAAUAGGACACAUAAAAGCACAAAACUGAUGCUUCAACUCCGAGCAAACUGCUUAAAGUGAAUGAAUUAGAUAUGGGAUGCAGGGCAUAUGAUGCAGCAUUCACUGUGGUGUUUGCUGCACCAGCGGUGGGUUAUUUUAUCGACAGGUCACUGCAUGUCUCCUUGAAUGAAAGCAGCACGAUCUUGGAAAUAUAAACGAGGAAGCCAAAAAGAACACAUUCAUUAAUGGAGAGGAGCUACUCAAAGAUCUUGCUAAAGUGGUUUUUAAAUCAACCCCAUUAGGUGGAGCUUAUUUGCCAUCUAUGCCUCCACCAUUACCUGAAGUAGCCAUUGUCUACAUCACAUAUGUCAGAGUCAAGGCCCGCGGGCCACAUCCGGCCCGCGAGAAGGUUUUUUACGGCCCCUGGGAUGAUCUUGAUUUAUUAUUAGAACCGGCCCACAGACCGCAGCAAGCCGGCAGCCCGCAGAUCUUUUACACGCACCAAUACUACAUUUCCCAUAAUGCAACGGUGACGCACUGAGCAGUAGGCUGCUUCAUUUCAAUAUUUAUUAGCACAGCAGUCGUCAGCAUAACAGUAAAAUUAAAACUUCUGUGUGGAGAAAGUGUGGCGGUACUGAAAGAGUAUAAUCUGAGACGACAUUAUGAAACGAAACACGCGGACAAAAACAAGAAUAUGGACAUGGAACAAAGGCUACAGAAGGCCGAGGAAUUAAAACGAGGCCUCAAAUCUCGACAGGCUCUGUUCAAAAAAGCCAAAUCACAAGGCCAGGCUGCUGUCAAGGCCAGUUUUAUUUUAAAAAAAUAGAAAUAAUAAUAAAUAAUAAAAAAUAAUAAUAAAAUAGAAAAUAUAGGCUACUGAUGGUGCCUUGAAUAAUACCGGUUUCUUUCAUUUAAUGUUCAUGUUAUGGGGAUUUUUAUAUAAAGGAAAUUUGUCUUUUGUGUCUGUUGAAAAUUAAAGAUUACUGACAGAGCCAUAAGAAAAUAUUGCUUUAUUUAUCUGAUCAUAUUGGAAUAUAUUUGUUAGGUUUUCAGUAGGUUCAAUUAGGUUCACUAGACUAUAUGCGUCAUUUAAAAAAUUUUCAAUGAACAUUCGAUCAGUCCGGCCCUCGGCUUGUAGCUAAAUUUUUUAUUUGGCCCUCCGUCCAUUUGACUUUGACACCCCUGGUCUACAUCAUCAUGCAAUACAUCGACGAAUUACGUCAACGAAUCGCCCCAGCCCUAAAAAACACCAUCUAGUUUUUCAGGUGUGGCGGCUUUAUUUGCUGUGGGGGUGUGCCAUGAUCAAUUACAUGUAGAGGAAACCCUGCAAGGUUCUGUCUGUAUACUUAUCGUUACUCAACAUGCACCCCCAUGCACGAUCAAAUGUUGACCAUAUGCAGCUGGUUUUAUUGAGUAGGGAGAAAAAUUUUAAGGAAUUUUGCCAGACAUAAAUAAGGGAGAUGGAACUGUUUUAAAGGGGGCUCUCUACUGCAUUGCUGGAGACAACCUUGGCUCUCAAAACACUGGUAGUUUUACAGAAAAUUUCAGCUCUUCUGAAUACUUAUGUAGAUAUCAUCUGAUUUCAAGAACUGAAUUUCAGAGUGCUGAUCCCAGCAUUUGUGGAUUGGAGCGGACUCCAGAAACAUACAGAGCUGCCAUUGAACAGCUGGAGACUGUUGUGAGGCAGGCUCGUAGUGAGGACCCAGAAGCAGACACUGAGACAGGGAUCAACGUAAAGCGAAUUUAAUGUCCAAAACAGAAAGGGAUAUCUAAGGAAACAAAGAAAGUCCGGGUGGUUGGCUGGUUGGCUGGCUGUCGUGUGGGCUGGAGACACUGCAGGAGAAACCAGAGGAGACAGGAGUUAGAGAACAUGAAAAAGAGUCACUAGGAGCAAAGUUCUCAAAGUUAUACCACGAGGAAGGCCAGGAGACGCGUCUGUACCGCUAGGAAGGGUAGACAAUACUCAGGCGCUGAGACUGAGGGCUGCAGGCUUCUUAAAGUCCCUUAAUUGGAGAUGAGGAGCAGGUGUGUCGUCUCACUCAGCCUCAGCGCCGGGGGAGGGGAGGAAGCUCUGGAAAAAGAGUACAGCCAGACCAGGCAAACAGGGAAAAACAGGAAGUCCAGCCAAAAUAAAACAGGAUGAGGAGGCGUCUCACCACAGAGACAGAGGAUGUUCCACAAGUGCAACGGAUAAAAUUCCGGUCAGUUUUAAAAUACGCUACAAAACUUUGAUGUUUGUUCACCUGGCAUGCCCCCCUGUCUCGUUCAUGAUAUCUUUGAGGGUGUCCUCUCUUAUGAUGUUGGCCUUUACCUCAAGUUCUUUGUCAACAAAAGGAAAUGGUUCACUUACACAACUUUAAAGAGAUGAAUCAAGCAGUUCAAAUACAAAGGAACAGAAAGGAACUUCCUCCAAACCUUGUGAGGUCAGUCCUCAAACACUGAAGCUGCAAGGACAUGCGGUCCAAAACUGGAACUUUUUUUUUUGUUUUUUUUUUGUGCAGUGUGACAAUAAAAGACAUACAACAAACAAUGGCAUUUGUGGUUUUGUGUGUGUGUGGGUGUGUGUAUUAUAUAUGUGAAUAAUAAUGAAAAAAUAAAUAAAUAAAUAAAUAUUACAAUUGUCAGACAAGCAAAAGAAAAUUAUAAUACACGAACAAUAUCAAUAAUAAUAAUAAUAAUAAUAAUAAUAAUAACAACAAUAAGAAGAAGAAGAAGAAAUUUGUGGACCACCUCGGGUCCCUUCCCACUCGCGCGAGACCUGCCUGCAGGCCCGCAGGCCCCCAGACCCCCCCCCCUUAUUGAGACUGUUGCCUCUAAUAAUUGGAGACAAAGUGCAGGACACACAAGAUGAUGUGUGGCAGUUACUUUUGCUGCUUAAGGACAUUGUUGACCUAAUUUGUGCUCCACAAAUUUCCAAGGAUCAGUUAGCUUAUCUGGAUAUUCUAAUCCAAGAAUUUUUGCAAUCCAGGAAGGAACUCUUUCCAGAUAUCCUCAGACCCAAACAUCAUUUUUACAGCAUUAUCCAGGACUCAUCCUCAAAUUUGGCCUCAUCCGGGUAUGGACUAUACGUUUUGAAAGCAAACAUAGUUACCCUCAGAAGAUGUACAAGGCAUCUGAAGAAUUUCAAAAAUCUGUGUUUGACUCUUUCAGAGAGGCAUCAGAUGUAUCAGUCCUAUCUUUCUGCAGGGUCAGUCAGUCCUCCAGCCUUGCAAAUAAAAGAUGUCACCAUUGUACUUAGAGCAGUAUAAUGGGAUAACUUGUUAGAAAGGUCAGUUUGUUGUGACUAAGAAUGACGAAUCAGUGGAGUUUGGUGAAAUCAUACUCAUUCUUGUGAAAGAUGAUCAUACUGUCACACUCUGCUGUGUUUCUCAGGCCGACUCUCACUCACCUCCCUGCCACAUCUCCUCAUCAGCGCUGAUUCCCCACACCUGUGAAUGACAAGCUGCAGCUCCUCACUGCUGAUUAUCCAGCCAGUAUUUAAGUCACUCUGUGUCCCUCAUUCAGUGCCAGAUUGUCUUCGCAGCAUGCAUGACUCCCCAGCAUUAUUUCUUGGAUUGCCUUCUUGGUUUCGACUCCUGCUUGUCUCUGACCACAUCUUAUCGUCUCAGCCCUUGGAUCCCCUGUCAAGUUUCUUCGCUCCGUUGAGAACUUCAGGUUUCGCUGUGUUGCUGGCUUCCCGACCUACUGCCUGUCCACGACUAUCCUUCUGUCUGAUCCCUCUGGAAUUAGUCUGCCCCGUUGAUUGUCUGCCUGGAUUCGACAUUGCCUCCGCUUCGACCACGAGCCCAGCCUGCCCCUCGGCAGUGCUGCUGCACUUCGCAAAGACUCUCAGGUGUAGUGUGUUUCCCAUGUGCACUCACCUUUCUGCCUGUUGGACCUGUUUCCUGUGGAUCUGUUUCCUGUUGGUCUUGGAAAUUCUACAGAGACUGCUAAAUUGAUCCCAGUAUUUUCAGUUCCCUUCUGAAAUACCUGUCUGCUGUGAACUGUUGCAAUAAAAGUAGCUUCGAAACAACUACCUGCUGUUGUGCUGCACUUGGGUCCUACAUCCACACCCCCCUGACACAUACACUACAUUUUCUGAUAAAAGUGUAUGAUGGUGAAUUUCUUUCACAUUACCACAUGUACACUCUAAAACAUGACGCUGAGCUUCUGCCAUGAUAUAUUUUAAAUAUACCAUGGCAGAAGCUCUCUGAAGAGUUGACACAAAGUCUGGAAAGACAGAAAAGACCAAGUCCGUGACUACGGCGUGAAAUGAUAAGGAUUGUAGUCUCAGAGAUAAUUAAGAUUUGUAAGAAUCCAAGCAAACACAACACCACAGAACACAUCUCAACCUUUUGCGAGCUGGGCCCCCCCUAAAGGUGGUUCAAUGCAGUUGGUGUGAAAAGUUUUUAGCACUGUUUCUGACAAAAAAUUUCCCCCAUGAGGGAUCAAUAUAGGAAUAUUCUAUUCUAUAUUCUAUUCUAUUCUGGUCAGACGACUCAGUCGUUUAUUUCCCAGUCCUCUUCUACCAAGACACAGAACGCAUCUCGGUUGCAACAUGCUGAGUCAGUCAUGGCCUGUCUGGACCUGUGGACUGGACUCCGUACCAGGUCCGGAGAUCCUUCUGCUGCCGGCCUCUAUCAGGACACCUGAAGUUAAAGCAGCGGUUCUCAAAUCCAGUCCUCGAGCCCCCCCA